rnacentral:rRNA from 1 species
UACGGAGGGGACUAGCGUUGUUCGGAUUCAUUGGGCGUAAAGGGUGCGUAGGCGGCGCGGUAAGUCGGGUGUGAAAUCUCGGAGCUUAACUCCGAAACUGCAUUCGAUACUGCCGUGCUUGAGGACUGGAGAGGAGACUGGAAUUCCUGGUGUAGCGGUGAAAUGCGCAGAUAUCAGGAGGAACACCGGUGGCGAAGGCGGCAUCCUGGACCGACACUGACGCUGAGGAGCGAAAGCCAGGGGAGCAAACGGG